UGCAGUCGAGGGGUAUUAGUUUUCGGACUAAGAGACCGGCGCACGGGUGCGUAACGCGUAUGCAAUCUACCUUUUACAGAGGGAUAGCCCAGAGAAAUUUGGAUUAAUACCUCAUAGUAUAUAGACCUGGCAUCAGGAUUAUAUUAAAGUCACAACGGUAAAAGAUGAGCAUGCGUCCCAUUAGCUAGUUGGUAAGGUAACGGCUUACCAAGGCAACGAUGGGUAGGGGUCCUGAGAGGGAGAUCCCCCACACUGGUACUGAGACACGGACCAGACUCCUACGGGAGGCAGCAGUGAGGAAUAUUGGACAAUGGGCGCAAGCCUGAUCCAGCCAUGCCGCGUGCAGGAUGACGGUCCUAUGGAUUGUAAACUGCUUUUGUACGAGAAGAAACACUCCGACGUGUCGGAGCUUGACGGUAUCGUAAGAAUAAGGAUCGGCUAACUCCGUGCCAGCAGCCGCGGUAAUACGGAGGAUCCAAGCGUUAUCCGGAAUCAUUGGGUUUAAAGGGUCCGUAGGCGGUUUAGUAAGUCAGUGGUGAAAGCCCAUCGCUCAACGGUGGAACGGCCAUUGAUACUGCUAAACUUGAAUUAUUAGGAAGUAACUAGAAUAUGUAGUGUAGCGGUGAAAUGCUUAGAGAUUACAUGGAAUACCAAUUGCGAAGGCAGGUUACUACUAAUGGAUUGACGCUGAUGGACGAAAGCGUGGGUAGCGAACAGGAUUAGAUACCCUGGUAGUCCACGCCGUAAACGAUGGAUACUAGCUGUUGGAAGCAAUUUCAGUGGCUAAGCGAAAGUGAUAAGUAUCCCACCUGGGGAGUACG
rnacentral:rRNA from 1 species